GUGGCUGUAGCUCAGUGUAGAGUGUUUGCCUAGCAUGAGGGAGGCACUGGGUUCAAUCCUCAGCACCACA
rnacentral:tRNA from 1 species